rnacentral:rRNA from 1 species
UACGAAGGGGGCUAGCGUUGCUCGGAAUCACUUGGGACGGUAAAGGGCGCGUAGGUCGGAUCUUUAAGUCAAGGGGUGAAAGCCUGAGGCUCAACCUCAGAAUUGCCUUUGAUACUGAAGAUCUUGAGACCGGAAGAGGUAAGUGGAACUGCGAGUGUAGAGGUGAAAUUCGUAGAUAUUCGCAAGAACACCAGUCGGCGAAGGCGGACUCACUGGCCCGGUACUGACGCUGAGGUGCGAAAGCGAUGGGGAGCAAACAGGG